rnacentral:lncRNA from 1 species
UAGCUAUCCACUAUUAUUUGGCUAGAGCAAACUACCGUGUAACUCUCAAUUCAUCACUACCAUUUCACCUUCUUAUUUUUUACACUCCAACAUGUGAUUAAGGGAGAAAAAACGACGAUUAACUGCAUUAUUUGCAGCGACCCAAGCAAAUCGACAAUCAAGGUUAGUUGAUAAGAUUAGAUUUUUUGCAUAUUGAAAGAAGGUAUGUUUAUAAUUUUAUGCAUUUAAUUAAACAUUUUGUAGAAAUUAUUAAGAAAGAACAAUCUCAAUUUUAUAUUGGGCAUCGAUUUCUAGAAGAUUUUCAAUUCUUAGUUUAUUGGAUAAGUUCUGUGCAACUUUGUAUGGGGUCAUCGAUUUAUUGGAUUUCCAAUCUCAAUUUUUAAUUCAUUGGAUUUUAUAUUGGCGGAAUGUUUUCUAGUUAAGAUGCACAUAUUUGAGUUUUUAAAUCUCAAUUCUUGGUUUACUGAUGUUAUCGAUUAAAAGGAAAAAAAGAUAAUCUUCUUAAUAUUUCGAGUCUGAUGAAGAUUUCCUUUUGUAUGCUUUCCUUGCAAUUGUUUCCCUUGCAUGCCUGUUCCAUGGUUUUGGUUUGUUCAUUUUGGUGGUGGUCUCAUUUUUUCUAUUUCCCCUACAUGUAUGUUCCAUUGGUAAUGUCUUUCGAAUUACUAGUGUUGUACUAGGCCUCGUUUGAUAUCUAAAUUGAGAUAAAGUGAGAUAAAUAAAACCUAGAUAAAAUAAUAUGGAUUGAGUGAGAUUAUUAUUAUUUAUAUGUGUUUGGUAAGUAAAAUAUAAUUUUAAGAUAGCUAAUAUUUGUGUUUGAUAGACAAAAUAUAACUCUAGAUUAAAUUAGUAAAUUACCUUUUUAACCUCAAAUUAAUUAAUAAAAAAAAAGUAAAGUGUUGCUCAACAAUUAAACACGUUCCCACCCCACCAUGUUUCCUUCAACAUCAAACACGUGGCCCCCAUCCCCACAAGAAAAAACCCACACAGUCCCAACCCUCUUCCCUUUCCUUCCUCUACCCCUCACCUCCCCAACCCCCUCGCCCCCCCACAGUGUUUCUGCCCUUCCCUCGCCGUCGUCCUGUCCUCCCCCCGCCCACCGCCACCACCGCCCAAGAAUUAUUUCUUGCAUAGAGCACUAAAUUGUCAUUAAUUAAAGUUUGGCAAAUUUCCUCUUAAAAAAAAUAUUACGCAAAUUCCUAAACCCUUGAAUUUGGUCCCCUCGGGUACGGUGUGCGAGCGAGCUCGCCGGGAAACACCAGUUCGACCGUUUUGCUAGAGAUCCUCAUCGCCUUGCUUGAGAUCCCGAUGUCGGGAUAGACCUGUUUCAGACCUUGAAAUACUGCCGAUUUUGUAUGUCUCCAGGUUCUUCCUCGCCUCCUCCUUCUUCUUCUUCUUGUCUCGCCGGCGGCGAGUCCUUCAGCAUCUUCUUGCGGCCUUCGGCCUUUGCCACAGGUGUCUUUCGGCCACCGUGACUUCUUGCUGAAUCCGUCCACAAUUCAUCUUUAUCUAUUUCAUAUAUGUCUGAGGAUCAGAUGAGGAUAAAUUUGUCUUUUUAUUUUUAAUCAAUGAUACUGUUCAAAGUCAGAAAAGGUAACUGGGGGUGAGGGCGGGAUGUAUUUUCUUGAAGCAACAGUGAAAUAGCGUCGGGCCAGUGAAAUAUGACGGGCCGAAUAGAUUAAAUAUAUUGCUUAUCAAACGGCUGAAAAUGCCAUGAUAAAUACGCAAUCAGCCCAUAACUACACUAUCAAACACACCCUUAAUUAGUCUUUCUUGUUACACGUUUAGUAUAAAGAGUGGAAAAAGUAACACUUUAUUUUUGAAAAAAAAUUCAGAAUGAUUGUUACAUUUUAUAAGAUUCGUAGUUGCACAAACAGUGUAUUAUGUGUUGUUACACAACGAAGUGUUUAUUGUUGCACACAUGAUGUAAAUAUCAUUUGAAGUGUUUGUUGUUGCACAAAUAGUGCAAAGAGUGUGGAAGAAUGAUAUUUGCAUUUCAUGGUUUUUGUAGUUGCACAAAGGUUAUGGUUUAUAUUCAAGAAUAUGAUAAAGAUGUUUUUCUUCGAUUCUAGCUCUUUAUUCGUACUGUUUUCGCACAAUGUAGUGGAAGUUGUUGCACAAAGUUAUGUGUGUAGUUGUAUUGUAUGUCUUUAAUAGUUGCACACAUGAGAAUUGUUGUUGCACAUAAAUGUUUAUUUGGUUCACAAAAUAUGUAUUUAGCAAACCCGUUGCUUUUUUGCUGACUUUGUGUAUCUGUGAUACAAACAGGAUAAAAAACAUAAGAAAUGUUUCGCGUAAAACAAGCAGUUGUUAAAAUGGCCCAAGAAGACGUCCUGAAGGUAUAUUGUCAAUAAUUUUAUAUAGUUUAUUAUUAAAUUCUAAUGAAAAUACAUUAUAUUGCUCAUGAGAUAAAUGACAGCCUCUUGAAGAAUUUUACAAUAUAUUAGCAAAUAAAGUUGUCAAAAAUAUUGUUCAUAGUCGUGUGAAAGUUAAAUUCAGCUCAAUAUUUUCAUUUUCUUAUAUUCAUUCUGGAUUUUGAAUAUAAUUUAAGUUUGAUUUUAAACAAUCAAGAGUGGCAAGCUCAAAAGAGAUAUCAAGAGAAGAUGCAAGAGAGAAAGCUAAAAAAUCAUCUACUGUGUGUGAAAUGACAAGAGCAAAAUGUAUGAAUUUCGAAUAAAAUAUUUAUCAACAUUUCUAAAAAAUUUGUGCAAUUAAUAUUAUAUGUUUUAUGCGAUUAAGGUAAUAUAGAAAAAAAAAAUGGUUGAGGAAUGUGUGCAAGUUGCGGCUGUUAGAGAUAAAGGUAAAGGAAAUGUAACCACAUCACAUGAAGACAUAAUAUGUAAAAUCUCAAACCCACUACAUAUAAUUUUAUUAAUAAAUGAUAGUUAAAGUAUGACGCUAAUAAGUAAAUUUGUUUGAAAUUCAGUUAAUGAGGCUAGGGUUAUUUGUGCAAGAAAGACGGUUGUUCGUAAAAUCACAGGA